UGGGGAAUAUUGGGCAAUGGGCGAAAGCCUGACCCAGCGACGCCGCGUGAAGGAAGACGGUCUUCGGAUUGUAAACUUCUUUUAUAAGGGACGAAGCAUGACGGUACCUUAUGAAUAAGCCACGGCUAACUACGUGCCAGCAGCCGCGGUAAUACGUAGGUGGCGAGCGUUAUCCGGAUUUACUGGGUGUAAAGGGUGUGUAGGCGGGAUUGCAAGUCAGAAGUGAAAAUUAUGGGCUCAACUCAUAACCUGCUUUUGAAACUGCAGUUCUUGAGGGUCGGAGAGGUAACUGGAAUUCCUGGUGUAGCGGUGAAAUGCGUAGAUAUCAGGAGGAACACCGGUGGCGAAGGCGGGUUACUGGACGAUUACUGACGCUGAGACACGAAAGCGUGGGGAGCAAACAGG
rnacentral:rRNA from 2 species